rnacentral:lncRNA from 1 species
GAAAAAACAAUUAACCGGAAGAUGUGUGUUUAAAAUGCAUGCUUUCUUUCGACAUAUGGUGAGAUACCAAUAAACUUCUUUGGAAAUAAGAAUCUCUAAAUUCCAAGGAUUUCAGUGUCCAUGUUAAAAAGCAACAGUAAGGCCCCAAGGCAUAUGGCAAUUUAGAGGCACUUACAUGAGGGGUUGAUAGUCUGGUCUGUGCACCAUUAUUUCCUGCUUGAUUUUAGACAUCUGCUGAGUGGAGCAGAAAGCUGUCAUAAACUCUGUGAUGGUCAGAGAAACCUGCCAUAGGAUAGU